rnacentral:rRNA from 1 species
UCMCCAGGUUGAUUCUGCCUGACGUAGAUGCUAGUCUNUGAGAUUUAGCCAUGCAUGCUUAAUAGAAAUGGCGAACGGCUCAGUAAUGUUGCGAUGAUUUGCUCUUGAUGGUACAGAUAACCACGGCAAGCUGUGGCUAAGAGGCAAGAAUAAGACGCAACCCUAUCAGUUAGUUGGUAGUGUAAAGGACUACCAAGACGACGACGGGUGACGGGAAAUGAGGGUUUGAUUCCGGAGAGGGAGCCUGAGAGAUGGCUCCCACGUCCAAGGACGGCAGCAGGCGCGAAAAUUGCCCACUCUUUGGUGAGGAGGCAGUUAUGAGACGUAGAUUAGAGGGCACAGUAAACAAGUGCUUUGAGUAUUGGAGGGCAAGUUUGGUGCCAGCAGCCGCGGUAAUACCGACUCCAAGAGUGUCUAUGGUGGAUGCUGCAGUUAAAAAGUCCGUAGUUGUAUAUGCAAUUGAAGGGCACCGGUCAAGGGUGCAGGGUUUGCUAAGGAUGGCGGAACGGGCAGAGUGCAUAGUAUAGGCGGGCGAGAGAUGAAAUGACCAAGACCCUGCCUGGACUGACGGAGGCGAAAGCGAUGCACUUGAACGAGUCUGGGGAUCAAGGACGAAGGCUGGAGGAUCGAAAGUGAUUAGAUACCGCUGUAGUUCCAGCAGUAAACGAUGCCGACAAGCAGGACACGGGAGUGUUUGCUGGGAGAAAUCAUAGUUUUCGGGCUCUGGGGAUAGUACGCUCGCAAGGGUGAAACUUAAAGUGAAAUUGACGGAACUACACUACCAGGAGUGGAUUGUGCGGCUUAAUUUGACUCAACGCGGGAAAACUUACCAGGACCAAGCAGCGCAGAGAUCGACUACGUGAGCGCAGCAGGAGUGGUGCAUGGUCGUUGGAAAUUGAUGGGAUGACUUUCAGCUUAAGUGCUAUAAUCAGUGAGAUCUUUGGAGACAGGUGCAGAAUGGCACAGGAAGGAGAAGGCGAUAACAGAUCAGUGAUGCCCUCAGAUGCCCUGGGCGGCACGCGCAAUACAAUACUCGAUGUUCUUGCAGAUGGAUUUUGGAGUGCGAGGGAUUAGCUCUUGUAAAUGAGCUAUGAACGAGGAAUUCCUAGUAACGAUGAUUCAUUAAGUCAUGGUGAAUGAGUCCCUGUAGUUUGUACACACCGCCCGUCACUAUCUCAGAUGGUUAUGGAGAUGAAGAGCCCCGGUUCUGAAUAGUCAUAGCUAGAUAAGGUACAAGUCGUAACAAGGUUGCGGUCGGUGAACCAUUAG